CCUACGGGUGGCAGCAGUGAGGAAUAUUGGUCAAUGGACGAGAGUCUGAACCAGCCAAGUAGCGUGAAGGAUGACUGCACUAUGGGUUGUAAACCUCUUUUAUAAAGGAAUAAAACGAGGCACGUGUGCCUUUAUGCAUGUACUUUAUGAAUAAGGAUCGGCUAACUCCGUGCCAGCAGCCGCGGUAAUACGGAGGAUCCGAGCGUUAUCCGGAUUUAUUGGGUUUAAAGGGGGCGUAGAUGGGUUGUUAAGUCAGUUGUGAAAGUUUGCGGCUCAACCGUAAAAUUGCAGUUGAUACUGGCAGUCUUGAGUACAUGUGAGGUAGGCGGAAUUCGGGGUGUAGCGGUGAAAUGCAUAGAUAUCACGAAGAACCCCGAUUGCGAAGGCAGCUUACUAAACUGUGACUGACAUUGAUGCACGAAAGUGUGGGUAUCAAACAGGAUUAGAUACCCUAGUAGUC
rnacentral:rRNA from 1 species